AAACUGAAGAGUUUGAUCAUGGCUCAGAUUGAACGCUGGCGGCAGGCCUAACACAUGCAAGUCGAGCGGUAACAG
rnacentral:rRNA from 1 species